GCCGGGGCUGCCAGGAUCCAGCGGGGGGAAAAGCGGAGAGCGGCGUUCACGGACGGUCGGGCGGAGACAUCAUUGCCCUGCUUGAUGUCUCCGAUCUGCGAGCGGGCGCUCGGGGGAAGGUUGAGUCUUUGGAUGCCGCCUUUUUCUCUCAGUGCUGUUGCUUUGGUGCUGCUUUGUGCUCCUGUUCCUUGAAGGCCAUGUCAUUUAUGCCAUUCCUGAGUCAGACAGCACCCACAGCUGCAGCAGGGAGGCUACAGGCACCAUUCCAAUCUUCCUGAACACCCUCACCUCUAGAAGUGGGCCACAAAAGGUGAGCAGAGUGCUUUCCUGUGCCCUGUGUUUUAAAGAACAAGCCGAGGUCCUGCAUGUGUUUCUGGCUUGGUGUUUGCAGCCCCUGACAGCCAGCUCUGUCUGACAGAGCUGUUCAAGUGAGCACUAGCCAGUGCUUGCACCCUGCUCCCAGAAAGAGAUUUCACAUUUGAAAGGAGCGCACCACAGAGGAGGUUGUCCAGAAGAUGCCCAUGGGUGUUCUCUUGCAUGGCAAGUACAAGAGCAUCCGUGGGAAAGGGUGUCAGCUGGGAGUGAGAAGCCCUAAUGAGGCAGCUGCAGAGAUGAAACCUCUCCUUGGGAAGAAGUACAGUUUUGUGUCAUGUUUCACAAAGCAGAAGAGAGCAGCAGGUCGAUGUUUCCACACCAGCCCUGAUUAGCAUGGAUGUCCCUAUUUCAUGUACAACACUUCCCAGCACACAGUCUCUGUUUCCCCAGACCAACUCUUCUGUAGCUGCUG